CCGGUCACGUCUCAGACGAGUUUUGUAGUCCUGGCUCACGGAUAAAACGACUGGCGGACGCACAUAAGACAUGCAAGUCGAACGAACUUAACCUUUAGUUUACUAUUGGAGCGGUAGUGGCGGACUGUGAGUAACACGUAAGCAACCUGCCUAUCAGAGGGAACAACAGUUAGAAAUGACUGCUAAUACCGCAUAUACCUAAGUAACGCAUGUUACAAUAGGGAAAGGAGCAAUCCGCUGAUAGAUGGGCUUGCGUCUGAUUAGAUAGUUGGUGGGGUAACGGCCUACCAAGUCGACGAUCAGUAGCCGGACUGAGAGGUUGAACGGCCACAUUGGGACUGAGAUACGGCCCAGACUCCUACGGGAGGCAGCAGUCGGGAAUAUUGCGCAAUGGAGGAAACUCUGACGCAGUGACGCCGCGUGCAGGAAGAAGGUUUUCGGAUUGUAAACUGCUUUAGACAGGGAAGAUACAAGACAGUACCUGUAAAAAUAAGCUCCGGCUAACUACGUG
rnacentral:rRNA from 1 species